rnacentral:rRNA from 1 species
ACGAACGCUGGCGGCAGGCCUAACACAUGCAAGUCGAACGCCCUAGCAAUAGGGAGUGGCAGACGGGUGAGUAACGCGUGGGAACGUACCCUUCGGUCUGGAAUAACCCAGGGAAACUUGGGCUAAUACCGGAUACGUGCGAGAGCAGAAAGAUUUAUCGCCGAAGGAUCGGCCCGCGUCCGAUUAGCUAGUUGGUGAGGUAAAAGCUCACCAAGGCGACGAUCGGUAGCUGGUCUGAGAGGAUGAUCAGCCACACUGGGACUGAGACACGGCCCAGACUCCUACGGGAGGCAGCAGUGGGGAAUAUUGGACAAUGGGCGAAAGCCUGAUCCAGCCAUGCCGCGUGAGUGAUGAAGGCCCUAGGGU